GUCGUCUUCACCUCCGUGCUUCUGCUAUCAGGGCCGCUACUUUUGCCAAAGUUGAAACCACAUCAGUUUUUCCAGAUGGAUGAUUACGAAAUUUAUUCUGAGAUUGAAGAAUAAGGAUAGCAAAUUUAUGCAUGUGUCUUCCUUCAAGGAUAACCAGCUUCUUUCCCCCCUGGUUAUUUUGGCAUCAUGGACAGGAAGGUAUGAAGCUCAUUUGUGGGACAAGAAUUGCUGGAAUGACAGUAAAUUUUAUAAGUUGGUAUGGUUGUAAAACCUUUGUUGUUAUUAUUGUGCAUAAAAUUUGUUAUUAGGUGAUCUAUCAUGCUAUCUUAGGUUCCCAUCCUGCCACAUGAUAACUUAAAAGUUGUGUUGAGUUUUGAUCAAUGGUUGAGAUUUUGAUGAGACUACUGCCAGUUAUAUGUUAGUAUUACAUACACUGGAUUCUAUCUCGAAUAAUGGAAGCUAAAAUUAUUGCAAUUGGUAUGUUGAAUGGAACCCACAAAUUCUACUCCUGGGAUUGAUUUUUGGUCCAGUUGAGGAGGGUGAUUUGUGUCAAAUGCUUUAAAUGGUUGAGAUUUAUCCUAGGAAGCAUGAGUAGCAUCUUAAGAGAUUUAUCUAUCCUAAAAGUAUGCUAUUUGCACCUCAAGUUAGUAGAAAAUGUGUGUUUUGAAUUUUGAAGUCAUCGACAUGAUACUUGUUUUACUGUAGAUGCAUUCUCCAGAUUACAUUCUGGUUCUGUGAGUUUCUCAGUUAAAAUCUAUCUGUGUAUCCCAGGAAAAAACAUUAUUUUAAUAUUGUACAAACCUUUCAAGUUUUCUUUGUCAAUUCCGUCACGGUAUCCAAGAAUUAAUGACCUCCUACAAAAUGUUCAAUGAAAUAAAUAUAUAUGGUGUGCAUGCUUUAAAAUUGCUGCUUUUAAUGCAGGUAUCUAGUCACGAGUCACGACAUUUAAGAUAGUUCCAAGGGGAACCGAAGGAGCUGUUCGUGUUGAGGGAACCGUUGCUGGACUUUUAGCAUCAAUUCUCCUUUCUUUCGUUGGUUAUCUGAUGGGUGAGAUAAAUGGACCCGAGGCUGUGAUUUGUGUUGUAGCUUCCUAGAUUGCUAAUCUUGGUGAAAGCGUGAUAGGUGCUUCCCUCCAAGAGAAAGAAGGAUUCUGAUGGGGUGGAAGACCACGUGUUGCAGACUUCGUUCAUGGUUCUGAUGGAUUAGGGAACAUUUCCUUACCUCCUCCAAAAUCCAAGAAAAUUGAGAAGAAGGCAUCGGAAUUUUUGGUGGAUAUGGUUUCUAAAUAUCCUGGUGAAGUAUCCAUACUUGUGCUGGGACCAUUGACAAAUUUUGCUUUAGCAAUGAAAAGGGACUCAUCCUUUGCAAGCAAGGUCAAGAGAGUAGUUAUUCUUGGUGGAUCUUUCUUUGCAUUGGGGAAUGUCAAUCCUGCUGCUGAAGCAAAUUUUGGUUGCUCUAAGAAGGGAAGCUUUUGAAGACGGAAUCCAAGCUACUAUGAAUUUUCUAAUAUCUUUAGAACUUUUUGGAUGGUUUUGAAGUUGAGAACAAUUUUUGGUGUUUAGAAACAUAGUUUUUGGAUGAUUUGUAAUGUACAGACAACUUUUGGAAAAAUUAAACAUGACGUAUAGGAUGUGCUGUUAAAAGUUUUAAUGGCAUGCUAUGGCAUGCCGUUAAAAGUGAAUGACUUUCCAUGACUAGUUAUGAUGUACCUUGUGCGUCGUAGAAUCGUAUCCAUGGCGUGCAUUUGGCGCCGUAAAAACCUUUUUUUGGUGCCGUAAUCCUUCAAAACAAUAAUUGUCCUUCUCACCAAAUAAUUUCAUUAAUCAUAUCAUUUUCACUAUAAUGAUCAAUUGUCUGACCUAAUAUCAUAUCCUAUUAUCACUUAGAUACCCUUUUAUAUAUUAAUGAAAGAAAUAUUGAGAGAGUGAUUGAAAGAGCUAAUACGCUCUGUAAUUCAAAAAUGUGUAUUAAACCUGAAGAGAAGGCUCCAUUAUAUAGGAGAGCUGAUACAACAUCAUUAUGAUACUACAGCAUGAAAGAAAACAUAUAGAAAUAAAAAGCAGCCGAAAGCGAAGCAUCUGAUGAGAAGGCACUACCUAUACAACUAAGCAAAGCACUACAACUAAGCAUAUGAUGGAGAAGCACUAACAAAGCAUCUGAUGGAGAAGCACUAACUAAUAUAUAUUAAAUAUAUAUUAAUGAUAUAAGCAU